rnacentral:lncRNA from 1 species
UUUUAGAGGAUCAAUGGCUGAUAGUUUUUUUUUUUUUUUUCUCUUUUACAGUUAACUUGUCAGCUCUGGAAAACAAUGCUGUUGGUUUCUUAGACUUUUGCAAGGAUCACAGCUGAAAAAACAUCACAGAAAGGAAGGAUUCUGGAAGCGCUGGCGUUUUAAAGAUAAAUGGUAAAACUGAACUGGAAAUCCAUCUGGCUGGCUGCCUGCUCUAAUGAAUAACCCCACUUUGGCUCGUGCAAUGUAAGCAGAAAGUUCUCUCCCGGCCUCUUUCGUCCGUCAUGAAUCUACAAGACAGCCGACAUAAUAUCUGGGCGACAACAGUGCGCUAACAGUGCAGUGACUUCCAUUUUCUUUGCUUUCUAUUGAUUUUCACUUAAUAACUGGCGAAAUACUAAACGUCCGCCCUGAGUACCUAAUAAAUCCUGC